rnacentral:rRNA from 1 species
CCUACGGGAGGCAGCAGUGGGGAAUAUUGCGCAAUGGGCGAAAGCCUGACGCAGCGACGCCGCGUGAGGGAUGAAGGUCUUCGGAUCGUAAACCUCUGUCAGCAGGGAAGAACGGUCACUGUGCUAAUCAGCAGUGAAUUGACGGUACCUGCAAAGGAAGCCCCGGCUAACUCCGUGCCAGCAGCCGAGGUAAUACGGAGGGUGCGAGCGGUAAUCGGAAUUACUGGGCGUAAAGCGCUCGUAGGCGGUAUGUCAAGUCAAGGGUGAAAUCCCCGCGCUCAACGUGGGAACUGCCUUUGAAACUGGCAAACUUGAGUGUGUGAGAGGAUAGUGGAAGUCGAGGUGUAGGAGUGAAAUCCGUAGAUAUCUGGAGGAACAUCAGUGGCGAAGGCGACUAUCUGGCACAUAACUGACGCUGAGGAGCGAAAGCGUGGGUAGCAAACAGGAUUAGAUACCCGGGUAGUC